rnacentral:rRNA from 1 species
UACUUUGGUGGCGACCGGCGCACGGGUGCGUAACGCGUAUGUAACCUACCUAUAACAGGGGCAUAACACUGAGAAAUUGGUACUAAUUCCCCAUAAUAUUCGGAGAGGCAUCUCUCCGGGUUGAAAACUCCGGUGGUUAUAGAUGGACAUGCGUUGUAUUAGCUAGUUGGUGAGGUAACGGCUCACCAAGGCAACGAUACAUAGGGGGACUGAGAGGUUAACCCCCCACACUGGUACUGAGACACGGACCAGACUCCUACGGGAGGCAGCAUG